GGGUCAUGUGAUUACUAAUCAGCUAAUCACAACCGUUUUGAGAGCAGGGGAUACGUGGGAACUACAACCUCCUCCAUCCGUGCAGUCAGAAAUCUUUCGUAUGCCAUUCAAAGUGCUUUGGUUGUCAAGCCAUAUUCUGUCACAAAAAGCACGAAAAACAGCCGAAAGCCACCAAUUGCAGACUUCUAUGAAGAAAUGACGAAAGUGGAAUCACUGAAUCCCUUGCGUACACUUCACAAUGCGAUACCACUGAGGGAAAUGGACAGCUACUUCGACAAAGCCACUGGUCAGAACUUUGAAGCUCUUGUUACACCAGUCGGUACUCCCUCGAGGAAGGCUUCGUCGAAGAAACUUGCUGCCAAAUCUUCAAAUCCUACACAGUUGCUGGCGAAGAUGUCCAGUGUAGCUAGCGAGGUCGUCGAAGGAGUCGAGGAGUUGCUCAAUGAAAAAUUUGAAGAACCAGAUUCUUGAUAUUUCAGGGUUCUCUUUCCGAUGAAAAUGACUGAAAAGCAGAUUUUGUUAAUGUUAUAAUUUGACUGGCGGAGUGCAUUUUAUGUGCAAUAAGUUGUUAGCUUUUAAAAAGUAACCGAAAUAUUUCGAGCUCUUUGAUAAGCCAAACACGUAUCAUUUAUUGAAACGGUAAAUCCAUAGAUAUUUUAUUAAAGAAAUAGACCGUACUUUCUAUCGGUUACCCAGCGAAAUAACACGAGAAAAAUUUGUAACCUACGGUCUGCAGGCGAUUGACUUACAAACUUUUCUCGUGUCCAACCAAUAUCCCUUGUGGUUUAACUCGCCGGUAUGCCGAUAGACAAAAAUGCUAAAUGAGAAUACCUAAAAUAGUUUUGGGAAUGUUCACAUCCACAAGAAAAAUAAUUAAAUCAUAUUUUGACCUGUCAAUGAUAACGAGUAGCGAACUGAUCCUCACCGCUAAAUUGCAAUUAAAAAAAACCUUGCCUCCCAAAUAUAGCUUCAUUUUACUGGAGCGAGGCAUGAGAGACGAGGAAGCCAUUAGAAUGUUCUUCGUUUUUAUCUAGGCGUCAUCUCUGGAAUUUCUUCCUUUAGGGCUCUCCUGUGAGAAUCACUUCAUUAUUUAAUGUUUGUUGUGUCAACUUAUGAUGAACAUCAUUUAAGAUCAGAAGAUACCAGCCAAACACAAAUUAACAACUGUUAGUUGAAUCCUACUUAGCUGAUUGGUGUCUUCUUGUUGGCACAGCAAAAUUUCAGAAAUACUUGCGGUGUUUUCCGUUUCCAGAGUUUCGCUGUAACUUAUUUAUGAACGUUUAAAUUGUGACCUUUUUCUAUUGCCCAGUUAGUUUUUCUACACUUGAAGUGUAGUUCAAGUAACUCAUUUUUAUUCUAUGCAGCUAAUUAAUCUAAACAACAAGUGUAGUUACAAGUUACCGAUUUGUUGAUGUUGCCGCAAGAUAUUUAUAAUUAAAAAGUACUCACAUUAUUUAAAACUAGAAAACGGA